ensembl:lncRNA
GUUUACAUUUUGUUUCAUGGCUAGAGCGUGUGGUAAAGCGAAUUAGAAUUCCAUUCCGAUUCGAAACAAUGUGUAAAGACGUAUUCCAUCUCUAUGCGACCGAGAGGGUCACAAUGCCGACGCUUCACAUGGAACACCAGAACCCAAGAGAUAUGUCCAGAACACUCAAAAAAUCUUCAGUUCUUGAUCGACAAACAACGAGAGAGACAGCAUUAUUAUGGCAAGCUUUUCAUUCAUCUUCCCCGAAGACAGACGUUGUUCCAUUAAGGACAACGAAGUCAAUUCAGGUAAGAACAAUAACGUUCAUUUCCGUCUUUAAAUAAAAAUAUUAAUUGAAGGUGUAAUUCCUACUGGAAAGGAAAUAAAAACAACAUAGAAGAUACGGCUUUAUUGGUUUGUUGUUAGUUACCAAACAGUGUAACCAUGCGAAAUGAGGUUUUCCAGCUGACAAUUGGUUAUUUUGCCAAUGAAAAUAAAUGAUGUCCCAAUUAUCUCUCCUUCCACGCAAAAUGUGCACUUGUUCACCUCCCUUUACCGAUUUGAAAGGAAAUGACUGGUAUAUUAAACAUGGCUAAAACUCUACCUAGCCCCUACUAGCCAAUGUUUUUAGAUUUGUGGGAAGUGGUGAAUGGCUGCACACUUCAGCAGAAAUCAGAUGUUAUUGGGAUGCAUGAAGAAAAUGAAGAAUGCAAUGAGGAAUAUCCCUUGCUUGUAAUGCUGAAAUCAGUUUACUUAACCCUGUGUUGGUGUUUCUUUCAGGGUGGAUGUCAACGGUAACCAAACUCAACACCCAUGGCGGUCCAGAGUCAGAGAGGCAGAACAUCCAUCAGUGCGUUGCAGAUGUACUUGGUGACAAGUACCACUACGCGAAUGCCAUUGACAGCUCUCUGCUCUGGACUGUUGGGUACACCCCCUACAUUCCCCCAGCUCUGAAAGGAAGAAACUUCCCCUCUGUCGAGAGCUUCUCCCUGGAUGAGUGGGAGCCACUGACACUCCUGCAGACUCCUCAGGUUCUGUCCACCAGUGUUUCCAUCGAGGAAGACAACCUGAUCCAGUCUGCUGCAGGCCUAGUGUCUCAGGUUCUGUCCACCAGUGUUGCCAUCGUGGAGAAUGACCUGAUCCAGUCUGCUGCAGGUCUAGUGUCUCAGGUUCUGUCCAGCAGUGUUUCCAUCGUGGAGAGUGACCUGAUCCAGUCUGCUGCAGGUCUAGUGUCUCAGGUUCUGUUCACCAGUGUUUCCAUCGUAGAGAAUGACCUGAUCCAGUCUGCUGCAGGCCUAGUGUCUCAGGUUCUGUCUACCAGUGUUUCCAUCGUAGAGAAUGACCUGAUCCAGUCUGCUGCAGGCCUAGUGUCUCAGGUUCUGUCUACCAGUGUUUCCAUCGUGGAGAAUGACCUGAUCCAGUCUGCUGCAGGCCUAGUAUCUCAGGUUCUGUCUACCAGUGUUUCCAUCGUAGAGAAUGACCUGAUCCAGUCUGCUGCAGGCCUAGUAUCUCAGGUUCUGUCCACUAAUGUUGCCAUCGUGGAGAAUGACCUGAUCCAGUCUGACACAGGCCUAGUGUCUCUGGUUCUGUCCACCAGUGUUACCAUCGUGGAGAAUGACCUGAUCCAGUCUGCUGCAGGCCUAGUGUCUCAGGUUCUGUCCACCAGUGUUUCCAUCGAGGAAGACAACCUGAUCCAGUCUGCUGCAGGUCUAGUGUCUCAGGUUCUGUCCAGCAGUGACGCUAGAUUGAAGGAUCGUAUUGAUUCCACACUGAGAGACUCAACCCAACCUGAGGUCCAUGUGGCGGAUGUCUCAACCGAGAGAAGUAGACUAGUCAUCACUAUUUCUAUGUUUUCAACUGAGAGUUGCAAUGCUUCGGUCCAUGAAGUUGAUGCUAUUGCUACCAGCCUGGAGCACCCGGCUGAGAAAAUGUCUACCUCUACCGCUGAUGGCCACAUUGUUUCAUCCACUGCUGUUGCCAAUCAGAAGGAAACAAGGGGCGGAUUCGUCUCAUCUCUACGGAGACUGUUCACAAGAAAGAACAGGAAGCCUGCUAAAGUGGCUUCCAAGAAGGAGCACAUUCACUUGGUUGACCGCCUCAAUGCUGAAGUCACCCACUGA